AACUUCUGAAUGUUGACCUCGGAUCAGGUAGGAAUACCCGCUGAACUUAAGCAUAUCAAUAAGCGGAGGAAAAGAAACCAACAGGGAUUGCCCUAGUAACGGCGAGUGAAGCGGCAACAGCUCAAAUUUGAAAUCUGGCUUUCGGGCCCGAGUUGUAAUUUGUAGAGGAUACUUUUGAUGCGGUGCCUUCCGAGUUCCCUGGAACGGGACGCCAUAGAGGGUGAGAGCCCCGUCUGGUUGGAUGCCAAAUCUCUGUAAAGUUCCUUCGACGAGUCGAGUAGUUUGGGAAUGCUGCUCUAAAUGGGAGGUAUAUGUCUUCUAAAGCUAAAUAUUGGCCAGAGACCGAUAGCGCACAAGUAGAGUGAUCGAAAGAUGAAAAGCACUUUGAAAAGAGAGUUAAAAAGUACGUGAAAUUGUUGAAAGGGAAGCGUUUAUGACCAGACUUGGACUUGGUUAAUCAUCUGGGGUUCUCCCCAGUGCACUUUUCCAGUUCAGGCCAGCAUCAGUUUUCGCCGGGGGAUAAAGGCUUCGGGAAUGUAGCUCUCUUCGGGGAGUGUUAUAGCCCGUUGUGUAAUACCCUGGUGGAGA
rnacentral:rRNA from 6 species